ACUCAAAGGAAUUGACGGGGGCCCGCACAAGCAGCGGAGCGUGCGGUUCAAUUCGAUGCGACACGAAGAACCUUACCAGGGUUUGACAUGCGCGUGGUAGGGAAGGGAAACCGGACCGACCCGCAAGGGAGCGCGCACAGGUGAUGCAUGGCUGUCGUCAGCUCGUGCCGUGAGGUGUUGCUUUAAGUAGCGCAACGAGCGCAACCCCUGUCGCUAGUUACAUGUGUCUAGCGAGACUGCCGGAUUAUAUCCGGAGGAAGGCGGGGAUGACGUCAAGUCAGCAUGUCCUUUAUAUCCUGGGCGACACGCACGCUACAAUGGGUGUUACAAUGCGUUGCCAAGCCGUGAGGCGGAGCUAAUCGCACAAAAGCACCCUCAGUUCAGAUUGCAGGCUGCAACCCGCCUGCAUGAAGUCGGAGUUGCUAGUAAACGCGCGUCAGCCAUAGUGCGUUGAAUACGUUCCCGGGCCUUGCACACACCGCCCGU
rnacentral:rRNA from 1 species